UUGAAACACCGGUUCUCGUACGAUCACCGAUGUUAAGCAAUGUCGAGCCUAGUCAGUAUCUAGAUGGGUGAUCGCUUAGGAAUACCAGGUGUUGUAAG